AGUAACACGUAGGUAACCUGCCCAUGUGUCCGGGAUAACUGCUGGAAACGGUAGCUAAAACCGGAUAGGUAUACAGAGCGCACGCUCAGUAUAUUAAAGCGCCCAUCAAGGCGUGAACAUGGAUGGACCUGCGGCGCAUUAGCUAGUUGGUGAGGUAACGGCCCACCAAGGCGAUGAUGCGUAGCCGGCCUGAGAGGGUAAACGGCCACAUUGGGACCGAGACACGGCCCAA
rnacentral:rRNA from 1 species